UAUAUAUAUAUAUAUCACAUGAAUAUAAAUGAGGUGUGUAAAAAAUAAAUAAAUCACACAUAUGGCUAGUGAGUCAUUCAAAAAGAAUCAAGAAUCAUUUGAGAAUGAUCAUGAUUCUCUAACUGAUGCUCAUAUUCUGCAUACAGAGAGAUUUAAUAUGUACAUGAGUAAUGUACAUAAUAAAACAUUAUUUAAAACACAACCACUUAUUACUUAUCACUUAUUAAUUAUUACUUCCUGUUUAUGCCCCGCCCUCUCUUUCUGGUCUUUUUGAAGUUCUUUCUAAGGUUCUUUCAUCAAUUUUACUCCAUAGUGUUCUACAUAGAACCUGACAGUCACGUGAGAGUUACAAACAUCAGUUCUCUUAAGGGUUCCACAUGUGACUAAUGAGUUCAGAAGAACCUGCUUAAAAUUUGCUGUAUUAAAGCCACAAACCCAAAAUACAUCCCUGAACACUACUGUGAGGAGGCAGAGCUUUCUGAACUGAUUAACAGGAGACUAGAGACACCAAGUCGUCCUGAUCACAUAAUUCUGAAUUCUGGAUUCUGAUUGGUCAGAAGGUGUUGAUUAAUUCUCUAUAUCAGCAGCUCUGACAGUAGCGCUCCACAUAAACUAACAUUUUAUUUAUUUAACAUGUAUGGAAGGAGUCUCCAGUGUCAGCACUUUGUAACAGUCAGAACUUUAAGUUUUCCCAGUUUUCUUCAGAAUGACAAGCUGCGUGUUUUUUUUAAACCUUAUUAACUUGAAGGGAGAGAAUAAAGACAGAGAAUAAAGAGAGGGCACAGAUGGAACUGUUUACAGCUGCUAUAACGUUCCUCAACAAACAAACCAACAGACGGACUCGGAACAGGAUGCUGAUGAUUUACAGAGAAACGCAUCCGAAUGAAUCAGGAGGAACUUCAUCAUGCAGCAAGACAACGAUCCAAAACACACUUCCACCUCAACACAGGACUUCAUCAGGGGGAAAGUGGAAGGUUUUAGACUGGACAAGUCCAUCACCAGACCUUCACCCAACUGAUCAGCAUCUCACCUCCUGAAGAGGAGACUGAAGGGAGAAACAACCCGAAACUACUGGAAGAAGCUGCAGGAGAAACCUGGAGAAGCUUCACAGAAGAAGAAACCAGCAGUUUGGUGUCAUUGAGUCGCAGGAGUGAUGCACUUACUGCGAGUAAAGGAAAUGCAACCAAAUAUUAGACUAAAAUGUUAGUCUUGAAGUAAAUUAAAGUAAAUCUGUUCCUAUACUUUUGCUCACCUAAAAAUGGGUUUGAUACAAAAGGUUCUAUGUUUGAUGUUGUUUAACACGUCUAGAUGUAAACACCAGGAAAUAAAAGAUGAAAUCCUAAACUGAUCUCAUCUCCACCUUUUAAUCUCAAACACAGAUGUAUUUGGUGUGGAGCACAAACACAUAAACUGGCUUUGUGUUCCAAUAGUUUUGGAUGGGGCUGUAUAUUGUUUAUACCUGUAUAUAAACAGUUAGUCUUUUUUUUUUUCAUCGUCACAUAGCAGGACUCGGGUAGGGGGCGUGGCCUAAACUCAGAAUGCAGGUUAUAAUUUGUACAUUUUAUUAUUUUCUAGUUCAUGGUGAAUGUUUUGUUUGUUUUGUUUUACACUGCACUAUUCCUUUUUGUUAUUAAAAAGCGUGUUGAACACUGUCCCUC
ensembl:lncRNA